GUUGCUAGAAAUAUGCAAAUGUUUAAUGGCAAACAGUUCACCAGAGUUUUUUUUUUCUGCCGAAAUACUUGUGGCAGCCAUAUUUAGAACCAUAUAAGAAAAAUAUAUUGGAAUUGGAAACCUAGUAAACUAGCUUUAUACCAAAGUUGUAACUGAUAACUUGUUAAUAAAUUGUCCUAAUAAACCUAACACUCGCUAGGUAUUUGAUGCCUGGUUAGCAUUGUCAUGUUUUUAUGGUAUAAAGGGAAGCACAUUUUGUUACUGGGUAGGUAGCUAAUGGCUAGCGCUUAGCUAGCUAGCUUAGCUUGCUAAAGUUGGCUAUUAUAACUAGCUAACUAAUGAUUCGAUUGAUAUCUUAAAGACAUAUUUUUAGAUGAAGACGUUGCUGUCUUUAAAUACCAAUAUACAUGUCAAUAUGGUAGCGUCACUGUUCGUUAGCAUGUUUAUUAGCUAGCACAACAACUAAGGUAGCAACUAUUUGAGUUGACAUCUUUUGCGGAUUGGAUACCUUUUUUCCCUACUCAUGGUGUUGGAAGAGGCUGCAUCAACACCCUGGAAAGAUUUUUGUGGUACACUCAGACUUUUUUUAUUGAUAAAUAUGUGUAUCGUCUUCAAGCUUGAUAAGAAGCAAUCAGUUACCAGGCAAAAAUACAGAUUGAAGGUUUCAAACGGAGGAAAGCGAAAUAUGUGUGCACCAAAUCAAGACUUCUUGCAUGCAUUACCUUGAUGUAACUCAAAUAUAAUUAAUUUUGGAAAAAUAAUAUGAAUAGCCAUAUUAGGCAUAACUCAAUUUUAUGUUGCUUUUCUUCCACACAAGCCUUAUAAACCCAAAUCAGGAAUAAGAGACAGCUAGUAGACAUCUGGCUUUUCAUCAUGAUGUCCGAAUGCAGUCUAGAUUGAAGAUCGUAAUUAGGUAAUUCGUUUGAAUCAAUUGUGUUGAGGCUUGGCUGGAGAAAAAUCUUGUAUAGGAACGAUUUAGCCACACAUUUAAGAUUUAGUAGGCCUAAAUCCCACUUUAUGCUAGCUACAUCGUUUGUCUAUAUAGAAUUUAUACAAGGCAGAAACAUUGUUUCCUUGCUGAAAAAUAUAUAGAAUAUCUGUUUUAGUUAGAAGAAAAGCAACAUCAAGGCAACUUUGUUACAGCUCAACCAGUUUUCCCUAAGCCUAACCCACCCAUUAGCUGGUGAGUCUACCUCCUUAAGAUGCACAAAUAUUAAAUGUUUAGGUACUAGGUUUAAGAUGCACAAAUAUUUAAUGUUUAGGUACUAGGUUCAGGUUUUCUAUCUUCAUUUUGUUUGUGCUCUCUGAUUGUUCCAGUGCAUGCAUUCAACAAGCUUUGGAUGAAGGACUCCAAGGUUUACUCAAAAAAAUGCAAUAGUUCUGACCUGGGUUUGAUUUUGUUGUUUUAAUUGUUUAUUCUAUUUUAAACCCAUUGGUUGAAAGCUCAUUGCUCAGUUAUAUACUGUCCUAAGGCUAACAUCCCUAUAGUGUUCACAUUUAUCUCAUGUAAAUGUUGUAGUAAUGUGAAAGCAUUAAAUAAACAAUUUAUUUGGGAAAUA